rnacentral:rRNA from 1 species
UACGGGGGGGGGCAAGCGUUGUUCGGAAUUACUGGGCGUAAAGGGCUCGUAGGCGGCCAACUAAGUCGGACGUGAAAUCCCUCGGCUUAACCGGGGAACUGCGUCCGAUACUGGAUGGCUUGAGUUCGGGAGAGGGAUGCGGAAUUCCAGGUGUAGCGGUGAAAUGCGUAGAUAUCUGGAGGAACACCGGUGGCGAAGGCGGCAUCCUGGACCGAUACUGACGCUGAUGAGCGAAAGCCAGGGGAGCAAACGGG